UCAAAAGAAUUAGGGACGGGGAGGGUUUUCUUCAAAAAUCAAGGGAACUCAGGGAAGUAAGACAAUGAGCACUUGGGAUGUCUUGACACAAUUUAUAGUACGGGUAAUCCCCCCAAAAUUUGAUUAAGAGCCCUAGAUACGAAGAUGAUUUUUGAAGUUGUGCUAAACUUGAAAACCAGGUAUUAGGUAUAUACUUCAACUGAGAUGCAUGUUAGUCGAAGUAAGUGGGGUUUUGUUUUUCAAGGCCACGAGAUGACUAAAAGAUGUUUUCAAGAUUACUCUUUCCACUCCUGGUUGUGGUGGUUUUGCAAGAGAUGAAUGGACAAGAGAGUGCACUUUAGGUUGAUGUGUUUAUAAAUCAAGAAUUCGGAGUUACUACUAGUGCAGCAGUGUUGAUUAGCAUGCUGGUUUGGAUAUGACUGCUUUAUCUUCUUUGCUUACUCUGGCUUCAAUUUUACCGACAAUAACAAAUAUUGGAAAUUGUUAUUCCCAGAGUUUUUUCUUUUUUCUUCCAGAUUUUAUAAUUUUUAUAACAUUUGAUAUUACAAUAUGUCAUAAAUAUAUGAACAUUUCUUGGAGUA